UACGUAGGGGGGCAAGCGUUGUCCGGAAUUAUUGGGCGUAAAGAGCGUGUAGGCGGUCCGGUAAGUCAGCUGUGAAAGUCAAGGGCUCAACCCUUGAAUGCCGGUUGAUACUGUCGGGCUAGAGUCCGGAAGAGGCGAGUGGAAUUCCCGGUGUAGCGGUGAAAUGCGCAGAUAUCGGGAGGAACACCAAUGGCGAAGGCAGCUCGCUGGGACGGUACUGACGCUGGAGACGCGAAAGCGUGGGGAGCAAACAGG
rnacentral:rRNA from 1 species